CUGAGGAUACUAAAGCCCAUUUUAGCUCUAAAAUAAAACAACAGAAAAUCACAACUGAAGCAAAAGUGCUUACUCUCCUCUAACACAGGACAGUCAGGAAAGAGUCUCAUAUUAGUUUCUUUAUUCAUGGGAAAAAUAGACUGCAGAGGAGGCAUCAGCAUAGAGGUGAAAGCAAUGUACAACUGAGAAUAAAGUUAUUUUUUAACGUUUUUUAGAUAAAUUCAAAAAUGAAAAUACAUUUUUAGUUUUUAAAGUAUCUGUGAUAAUGGUCAAAAUUACCAUUAACCUUUACUGUGCAUCACACAUAGGUAACUCAUUGUGACAUGAAAGGGAGGAGCGGAGUAGCAGUGUGGGACAAAUUGCAAAGAAAAUACACAUGAGGUACCUUAUUGGAAAUCCCAGCCCCUUCAAAAGAAGCUAAUUUUCUCCAAGUGGAUGACUUUAACCAGAACAUAUAAGGCACAUUCUAAGACACAAAGACCUUUCAUUCUCCUUCAUCUACACCCUGCACCCCUGAAGAGUAAAGAUUUUCCUUUUUCUUCUGGAGCAUCCAGUCACCUGUAAACACACCAGAUACAGACAGAACUAUAGGCCACUGUGCAAGAAGGAUGGAGAGGCUACAUUGAUCCCAAUGGACAGACUCUUGUAUUUGCGAAGAAGAAGAGAAAGAUGAAAUUUAAAUAUAAUCUAAAUUAAGUCUAUUUAAAAGCAGAUUUUUCUGUUUUCUAUUUGAAGUGGCAUAUACACAAGCUUAUAAAGCACCAAGUAAAACAGUAAGUUAUGUACUUUGCAAUCUCUGCAGUAGCUCUGCAGAGAAAUGUGACAGCCAAAGUGCUCUUCGUAAUAACUCACACAUGGCCUUCAUAAUAUCUUGUACUGAGAGACACAGGGUUGGCUGAGGCACUGUGGUUAUCCUUAUCAUUUUUUUUCAAAAGAUCAUUAACUCUUGUUUGGUAGAAAGGCAGAGAGGAUUUUGGUAGUUUGUCUGAGAAAGACAACUCUGCAGUAAUAGCUGCACUGUAAGUUGACUUCCACUUUGCUAGAUUUUGAACCCUUGGGACCUGGUUAUGGGCGAGUAGAAAUUGGCACAACUCUAUUCAUUUCAAUUAGGUCACAUCAUUUACACAAACUGAAGCUAUGGCCCAUUAUUUCUUCAUGCCUGCUCUAUCAGUGAAUCCAGGUAUGUGAUUAUAUACAAGAGUGCUCAUUAAAGUUAAUGCCAUGUACUUAAAGCCAUGAGCCUAAUGUUAAAUUGGUAUUUAAGUGCCCUGUGGUAUCAGCCUCAGAAUGCAGUGCUGCCUGCUAAGAUGUUACAACAAUUUUUUUGGAAAGGACUUGCUAAUUUGCAGUGAGCAACUUUCCUGUCAGCCAUCACAUAGACAGAUUAAUUAGCUGUUGUUUCCAGUAGUUUCCUCUGUCUCAAAAUAUUUCUUACCUUGUGCCGUGGAUGUAGAAAUAAGGAGAGAAUUCAUGGAACAUUUUCUUUAAUGAAGAAAUUACUCUUACUGAAUUAGGUUUGUCUUAAUUUGAAGCAGAACUCUGAAAUUCUCUUCCUAGUCUUGCCGUUGAAACCCAGUAAGAUC
rnacentral:lncRNA from 1 species